rnacentral:tRNA from 1 species
GAUUGAAUGGCUGAACUAUAGGCGAUAAAUUGUAAAUUUAUUUAUGGGAAAUUUUCUCUUUAAUCA